AAAUUGAAGAGUUUGAUCAUGGCUCAGAUUGAACGCUGGCGGCAGGCCUAACACAUGCAAGUCGAACGGUAGCACAGAGAGCUUGCUCUCGGGUGACGAGUGGCGGACGGGUGAGUAAUGUCUGGGAAACUGCCUGAUGGAGGGGGAUAACUACUGGAAACGGUGGCUAAUACCGCAUAACGUCGCAAGACCAAAGAGGGGGACCUUCGGGCCUCUUGCCAUCAGAUGUGCCCAGAUGGGAUUAGCUUGUUGGUGAGGUAACGGCUCACCAAGGCGACGAUCCCUAGCUGGUCUGAGAGGAUGACCAGCCACACUGGAACUGAGACACGGUCCAGACUCCUACGGGAGGCAGCAGUGGGGAAUAUUGCACAAUGGGCGCAAGCCUGAUGCAGCCAUGCCGCGUGUAUGAAGAAGGCCUUCGGGUUGUAAAGUACUUUCAGCGGGGAGGAAGGUGUUGUGGU
rnacentral:rRNA from 2 species